GGUUUGUAGCUCAGUCGUAGAGGGCUUGCCUAGCAUGCUUGAGGCACUGAGUUCAAUCCUCAGCACCA
rnacentral:tRNA from 1 species